AGCUCAAAUAACUCCUCCUUCAAUUGCCAAUUUGCCUCCCGAUAAUCUUUUGUAUCAAUGCUGGAUCUUGAAGAUAUUUUACCCGUUCCUAUCUAACCAAUGGGGCCCCGUUUUAGAUCCUGUUCUUGUGUUUUGAUCAUUCUGCUUUGUGUGAGCUUUUCUGGGAUUGUUUCCGUUUGUGGAGAGAGUAGAGGACCCAAAAACGUGCAGGUUGCUGUUCGUGCUAAGUGGGAGGUACUUCUGUUCUAUUGGAAGCUGGUGAAUUACCAUCAAAGGAAUGGAAAGACCUUUAUUGGGAGUUCAUUGAGGUCUGGCUCCGGUCAGAGGAGGAUGAAUCUGACUCUCAUACAGCAAGAGAUUGCCUCAAAAGAAUCAUUAAACAUGGAAGGUCACUUUUAAGUGAUCCAUUGGCCUCACUAUUUGAGUUCUUUCUUAUUCUGAGAUCAGCAUCCCCAAGAUUGGUGCUUUACCGACAAUUAGCAGAGGAGUCUCUUUCUUCUUUCCCACUUUCUGAUGAUAGUAUUUCAAACAAUGGUAGUGGAGGAAUUGCAGAAAUAACUGAGAAAAAUGAAAGUAAAAGGUCAGAUCCUUUGCUUGUUGGUGUAAAUCCUAAGAGCCCUGGUGGAAAAUGUUGCUGGGUGGAUACUGGUGGAGCAUUGUUCUUUGAUGUUGCAGAGUUGCUAUUGUGGCUUCACAACCCUCCUAAACUAUAAGAGACUCAUUUCAGCAGCCAGAACUAUUUGAUUUUGAUCACAUCCAUUUUGAUUCUCAUACUAGAAGCCCAGUUGCUACACUGUAUGGAGCUCUGAUUGUUUUAGAAAAUUUCAUGUCACACUGGUUGAAGCUGCCAGACAGGGGAUGGUAAAAUAUGUAGUUAGACCUGCUUUACCCUCUGGCUGUGAAGAAAAAGCUGGCAAUUGUGGUGCUAUUGCUGCCAAAGGCUCCUUAAAUUUGGGCGGUUAUGGUGUUGAACUUGCAUUUAAGAAUAUGGAAUAUAAGGCUAUGGAUGACAGCUCAAUUAAGAAAGGUGUCACUUUGGAAGAUCCACGGACUGAAGAUCUUAGCCAAGAAGUUAGAGGGUUCAUUUUUUCCAAAAUACUGGAACGUAAACCUGAGCUUACCUCUGAGAUAAUGGCUUACUGAGACUAUUUACUUUCGUCAACGAUAUCUGAUACGCUUGAUGUUUGGCAACUAAAAGGAAAUCAAUCAGAAUUUUCCUAGUGUAGUUUCUUCUUUGUCUCGCAUGAAGCUCAGUGAUUCGGUUAAAGAUGAAAUAACAGCAAACCAGUGAAUGAUUCCUCCUGGAAAGUCCUUAAUGGCUCUGAAUGGUGCUUUAAUCAAUAUUGAGGAUAUUGACCUUUAUCUGUUGGUAGACAUAGUCCAGCAGGAGCUGUUAUUGGCCAAUCAGUUUUCAAAACUGAAGGUUCCUCAUAGUGCAAUUAGGAAACUUUUGUCAACGGUAUCUCCUCUUGAGUCAGAUAUGUUCCCUGUUGAUUUUCGAUCAAUUCAUGUUCACUAUCUCAAUAACUUGGAGGAGGAUGCUAUGUAUAAGCAAUGGUGGAGCAAUAUAAAUGAGAUUUUGAUGCCUGUCUUCCCUGGGCAACUACGCUACAUCCGCAAGAACUUGUUCCAUGCAGUUUAUGUUGUUGAUCUAGCCACCAGUUAUGGUCUUGAGGCAAGUGAUUUUCUUUCACUCCCUUCCCCCUUCCAUUCCCUGCCAUCAAUAACUACCACUCGACCAUGUUAAUUCUGUCAAAAUUUUUAUAAUUUUUGUUCUUGUAAGCCUGCAGUCCAUCAAAAGGAUUAUAUCCUUGUAUGAGAACAACUUUCCAAUGCGAUUUGGGUUAAUUCUGUACUCUUUGAAUUUCAUCAAGAAAAUUGAAGUGGGUGGUGGUGAUCUCCAUGCACGACUGCCACAGUCAUCAAGCUUAUAUCAUUAUCGCAAUCUAAAUGCUUGGCCAUCACAAUUGCUUAGAUUUUCCACAGAUGUCUAGAACUCUAUUUGACACCACUAUCAUCACAAUUGUGAUCCCAAGAUCAUUCGUUUGCCCAUAACUCAAUGUCACUUGACAAGUGUUUCAUCAUCUCUAUGUAUUCUCACUUCAUAGGUAUUCAAGGUGGCCUCAAGCUCUAUUGGCACACCCAAUUCAUCGUGGAGUCAUUACCCUCUCCUCAAAAGAUUAUAUGUAAUGAGGCGUGCAGCCCUCCCACACGUGGUAUCAGCACUUUUAUCAUAAUGUGGCUCUCAUCACCACCAUCUCAUAUUUUAAGAUUGUUUUGGCAAACUUUUUCUCAUAUAAGCUACCACAUCCGCAUUAUGACCUAGUUACCAGUACUAGGCAUCCGAAACUUUGAGUUUUAUAUGAAUAUUCGGGCUACCGUUUGCCAACGCAACUUUAUAGUGCUUACACGCACAAUUGGGCGUCUGCCCUUUCUCAUGUUACCACAAGCCAACUCGUUACCUCCGAAAUUGGACCUUGGGUUUUAUACCCUCUCUAGGCUUAUCGUAAGCCAAUUCAAUUUUCUACGCAACAUGAUUUGGGAUCCACCUGUCCUUUUUUCGAAUUCAUCUCAUAGCUGAUUUUAACUUCAGCAGCUCUUAGCAUCUAUCGCCUCGUAAUUAAAUGGGAUUCAAUGGAAUCCACGCAUAAUCCGAACUUGUCAUCAAUGGCACGCAACGACUGUCUCGUCUCAAGUUGCACUCUAGCAACAGUUUCACUUUCUAUGUUAUCCAUAGAAUAACAACAUUCUUAUUUCAAGGGACUCAAUACAUUUCUCAUCCUUCAUUUGAAGGUUCUAGCAGCCAACAGCAAUGGUUACUCUCCAGGGGAGAAAACAACCAUCUCAAUAUCGAUUAAAGGUAUUUCAACCCAUCAUUCCGAAGGUUCACAUAACCAUUAAGCUAUCUCGAAUUUCCCAUCUCUUUACCCAACUAGGGUAAGACACCAUCUCAGUGAGAUAAGCCAUCGGUUUCUUAAUCUCUUAGGGAUAGCACCCCCAUAUCUCGAAAGACUUCCACAGUCUAUUAACAAUUCGCAUUCGUCUUAUCAAUCCUUGGGGCUUACUCGUCCCCACACAUCUCGAAGACUUUCUCAGUCUUUUAAGCAAUCCCGAGUAUUGUAUCUCAUCACCCGACAAGGGUCAUUCACCAUCUUAAUGGCUUUAGGGCUACCAUUUGCCCAAUAUUUUCUAAUGUUUUCUGAAUAUCGAUUGUCUCAUUUUUGUCCGACCAAAGUCUUAAAUGAUGUUACUUGCUUGGCAAAUGUCAUUUGCCCAUUUCGCACCCCGUUUUGCCCACGUUAGCAUCCUUUGUAUUAAUGAUCCCCAAUUGGUGUACCGCACUCACAUACCACCUCUUAAGGACUCAAUAACAUCAAGAAUACUCAUUUGCCCAACAUAUCACUUAUACGUUGUGCAUGCCACAAUAUGUUUCUAAUAAGGACAUCAUGCCCUUCCCCCAUUUCGGGGUUGUAUACUCCACUCACCCUUUCUCAAGGUGAACACACAGUUAGCUUUCAUCGCUUUUCAUCGUUUCUCAUUAUUUUUGUAUCUCGUGUGCAUCACACAAUCGAAGGUUUCUCAAGGGAGGUAUGGAUUAUUAUCCAUCACGAGCACUGACCUUGCUUUGAUACCAACUGUCACGGGGCCACUUCCUAGCUCGGACAGUAGUCCCAUGCGGCGCCUAAACUUCCACUCAAUCUAGGCCAGCCUACUCGUAUUCAAGGGUCUUUCCCCUUGUAGAGGAUCUCAAAUAUUCUUAUCGAGGGUUUUUCACGUAUCUAGCCCAAUAAUUGAGCAUUGAUAUUCCUUGUAGCACGAUGUCGCCCUUCAUCGUGUACAUCCCCAAGCAUCGUCUGAAAGCAAGGCAAUAAGCAACAUUCGACUGUAUGGCUGAACCCAAAGCCAAUCUAUAAUAUUUGUUCCCCUAUACCGAGUAGCAUCAUUGGCCCUUAUACCGAGCAGCAUCGUCGGCCUUAUAUGGAAAUCUCAGGCCUAGGAGAGACACGCACUACAAGCUCCUCGGCCUUGUACUGUCCAUGAAGCUCCUUCUUCAUGGAGACACCGAGCUCCUAUCUCUCGAGAGCACGAUGCCCGCCGCCUAGUACAAUGAGUACGUAGGGAGCUCACUUAGAGUCACACCUUUACGCCAGUGACCCCGGGGAUGGUGGAGAGCUUGACACCAACUUCGGCAACUAGCUGGGCCCGUCUGUGCUCACCAGUGGCCAACUAGUCACACCCCCCUAAAGAGCAUUAGGAACAUAGUGACCUUUGGCAGGAGGAGACAUCAGUAUGUCUCAGUGGUCACACCCCCCUGCACUUCUCCAUAUUUAUAAAUGUGUCCGCCAAACUUCUCAUUCUUCUCAAUUGUGCCCUUACACCAUUUCAUAGGCCUACGGCUUGGCUAGGUUUGGCCAAUCCUCACGGGGUAACGGGCUGUCCCUCUUACACUAGGGGCCCUGGCCAAGGGGGACCUAGGCUCCGUACGGGGCUAGAACUCCCGUCCCGUGACAAAGUGGUAUCAGAGCAGUAUGUAAUAGCUGGUAGUUCCCCACUUCUGUUCUUGGCAGUUGACAAGGUCGUCACAAACUAACUCUUGCCCUAUGGAGCUAACCGUUCUGAAUUUGUACAGGUACGUGUGAGAAACCUCGAAGAUGCUUAUUAUUUGGGCCUCAGCGAGCUUGCCAGAUAGGGGGAAGGCUGGCCUAGGGGCCCUGGCCAAAGGGGACCUAGGCGCUGCACGGGGCUAGAACUCACGUCCCGUGACAAUGUGGUAUCAGAGCAGGCCCCAGAUGAUCCGAAUAACGCCAAGCGCCCCAACGAGACUGGGGUAGGCAAGGUACCGAUAACGAUAAGGGUGUUGCUGGAAUCGGGUGGAGGAGAGUGUCAGGCCUCAAUGGGACAUAGGUAUACAAGGGCUUCUCAAUCCCACAUCGGACAAGAAAGGGGUCGAUCCAAGGGAUAAGUGUGGCCUGUCAUGCAGCUUGUAUGUGUCUGGCGAGUAAUAUGAUGAAUCUUGGCAAGGCAUUUUGGAGGAUGUCUGGGUGCGGAAGCAGGCGAGUGCAUUGGUAAACUGGUGGCCAACAUGUUGCUUAAGUGUUUGCAUUGGGUUAGCGCAACAAAUGGUGUGUGGGCUCCUACGUGCGAGGGAGUGUGACAAGUUGCGUAGGGAAGCGACAUGAACGCACGCAAACGAGAGCGUUUGCGGGAUUGGGUAGGGGAGAAUGUAACGGUUCGGCAGUUCCCCACUCCUAUUCUUGGCAGUUGGCAAGGCCGUCAUAGGAUAUCUCUUGUUCUAUGGAGCUAACCAGUGUGAAUCUGAACAGGUACAUGCAAGAAACCUCGAAGAUGCUUAAUAUUUGGGCUCAGUAAGCUUGCCAGAUAGGGGGAAGGCUGGCCUAGGGGCCCUGGCCAAGGGGGACCUAGGCGCCGUACAGGGCUAGAACUCCCGUUUCGUGACAAAGUGGUAUCAGAUCAGGCCCUAAAUGAUCCGAAUCACGCUAAGCGCCCCAAUGAGACGGGAUUAGGCAGGGUGCCGAUAGCCUACGGCACCUGAACCAAGAUCGGGUCACGUGUCCCAGUAUCCAACACGUUGACAUGAGGAAACGACCGACACUACUGGAAACGCUGGUCAAGCUCAAAUUAUUGGAAAUAGGAAACGCGUUUCUUUAAAGAAAAUUAAAAAAAAAAAGGAAAAUGGGUAGGUUAAAGUCGAUCACUUCACAAUAUUCACCAUCAAGAUCAACAGAAAAGGAAGAAGAAGAAAAAGAAAAAGAAAGGGAAUAUCAGACCUUCAACGGCAGUAUCGCAGUUCGCAGAAGAAGAAGAAGAAGAAGAAGAAGAAGCAGAAGGGAGGAACGACGACAAGUACAUCACAGGACAAUAUUUGAAUGGAUUAUUCAAACUCUAAUUCUACUCAAGCAAAUAGCACUAGUGCCAAUUCUUCAAAAACUAGGGAGGAAGAAUUUAAUCAUUUGUGGAGAUAUGUAACUAAACUUGAGAAAACUGUAGAAUGAGGGGGUAAUUGUAAAUGUAUAUGCAAUUUUUGUGGACAAGAAAAGCAAGGGACUUAUACUAAAGUGAAGGCUCAUUUAUUGAAAAUCACUGGAAAAGGGAUUGGUGUGUGUAAAAAAGUGAUAAAUGAUAGUAUUUCUGAAAUGAGAAAACAGGAGGAUGAGGCAACAAACAGAAUUACUAAUUCACAAUCUAGGCGAGUUUCUUUGCCCAUUAGUAUAACUUCUGUUCCUUCAUUGAAUAUAACUGAACCAAGUAUUUCAACAGCUUUGAAGAAAGAAGAGUUAAUGAUUCUCCUCUUGGUAGAGCUUUUGACUUGCAAACUAUAGCUCAAUUAGAUGCAGAGAUUGCUAGAAUGUUCUACACUAGGGGUCUACCUUUUAAUUUUGCUAGAAAUCCUUAUUAUGUGAGUUCUUAUUCUUUUGCUGCUAAUCAUGCUUUGGGUGGUUAUGUGCCGCCUGGUUAUAACAAAUUGAGAACCACAUUACUUUAGCAAGAAAAAGCAAAUGUAGAGAGGUUGCUUGAACUAAUUAAAAGCACUUGGUUCGAAAAGGGUGUUAGUAUUGUGAGUGAUGGAUGGAGUCAUCCCCAGAGGAGGCCUUUGAUUAAUUUUAUGGUUGUUUCUGAGUCUGGCCCCAUGUUUAUCAAAUCUGUAGAUUGUUCUGGUGAAGUGAAAGAUAAGCAAUUUAUUGCUAGUUUGCUAAAAGAAGUAAUUGAUGAGGUGGGUCAUCAAAAAAUGGUACAAGUCAUUACUGAUAAUACUUGAAAUUGUAAAGGUGCUGGAGAAAUCAUUGAGGGAAUGUUUCCACAUAUUUAUUGGACUCCUUGUGUUAUGCACACUCUUAAUCUUGCUUUGAAGAAUAUAUGUGCAGCAAAAAAUUUGAAAACUAAUCAAGAAACUUAUGAUGUGUGUCACUGGAUCACUGAAAUCCACGGGGAUGCUUUGCAAAUCAAGAAUUUUAUAAUGAAUUAUUCCAUGAGGCUUGCAAUUUAUAAUCGGUUUAGCCCUUUGAAAUUGCUUUCAGUUGCUGAUAC